GGGAGGUGUUAUUAUCAUCCUCUGGUAUCUACAGAUGAGGAAAACAGGCUUUGCAGGAUUUGAACCCAGCUGUCUGGCACCCACUCCAAUGCUUUUAGCCACCGUGGUUCAUGGCCCCACCCCAGAGCAGGAUCUCUGGUACACGGCCUGGAAGAGAGCCCUGAGGCCCACCAAUAGUGACUUCUCACGAGCUGCUCACCAGCGCUCCUUGGGGGCCCUCGAGCACCCCCAAGUCCCACUCGUGGAUUGGAAGCAGCAGAGAGCUGGAGGGUUAAGAGGACAUGAGAAUGGCAUGACAGAUCCUCAGCCACAAGGAUCAGCACAUGUGAGAAGGAUGAUCCCAGAAAAACGGGCCCUCCCCUCAGCCCACGCCUUGAUUCUGCUCCAGAACGCGGAGGAUGCAGAACUUCAAGAGGGCUGCGGCGAAGGUGUUGGCCAGCUCAGUGGACCCGGCACUUUGGCGUCAGAACUUCAGGUCGGGGAGGAAGGACCAUCCGCCAGGGCCCAUAGUCACUUCCUUGGCCUGUGCAACUCACAGUCUUCUUCAGUCACUCGGCAGCUGGGAAGGAAGGCCAGAAGAGGGGACUCUGUCACGCCCUCAUCUCUGCUCCUACCCUAACGGAGGCAGAGGCGGCCAGCACAAGGAGCCGGGUGGAGGGGGCUGGACCUUCAGUGACUCUCAGGACAUUAGGCCUCCAGGACCAGCUCUACUCUGCCUUUCUGUGGGACCUUUGGCAAGUUUUCAAGCCUCUCUGGGCUUCUGCCUCCCUAUUUGCAAAAUGCAGAGAAUUAUUGCCAUUCCUUAUGCCAUUAUGU
rnacentral:lncRNA from 1 species